rnacentral:rRNA from 1 species
UUAAUUAAAAUAAAUAAAAUUAAUAAAUAUGAUUAAUAAAAAUUGUAAAAUUUUAAUUUAUUAAUUAAGUAUAUUUUAUUUAAAUUUUACCUUUUGUAUCAGGGUUAAUUUAAAUAUUUUUUUUAUAAAAUUUUCUCGAAAAAAAAAUAUUUAAAUUAAUUUAAAUUUAAUGUUGUAAUUUUAAAAUUUAAAAUAAAUUUAGUUUUGAAAUAAAUUUCGAUUUUUUAUAUCUAGUUAAUUAAUAAAUUAAUUUAAUUAUAUAAUUUUUUAUAAAAUAUUUUAUAAAAAAAUUAUUAAUUUUUUAGGGAUAAGCUUAAAAAAUUUAUAUUAUAAAAAAUUUUUUUUUUAAUCUAUUAGUCUAAAAUUAGUUAUUAUAGUAAUAUUUAAAAAUUAAUUAAAUUUAUUUAAUUUUAUUUAAAUUUUUUUUUUAUUUUUUAAUUUAUUUUAAAAAAUUAAUUGUUAUAAUAAAAAAUGAUUAAAUUAGUAGAAUUUAAAAUAUAAAUUUAAUAAUUUAGCAAAUAUAAUUUUCACCUGUUUAACAAAAACAUGUCUAAAAGUAAAAUAUUUUUAGUUUAAUCUGCUCUAUGCUUUUGUCAAUAGCUGCAGUAUUUUGACUGUACAAAGGUAGCAUAAUAAUUAGUUUUUUAAUUGGAAGCUUGUAUGAAUGAUUGGAUGUAAAAUUAACUUUUUUAUUUAUAUAUAUUUGAAUUUUUUUUUUAAGUAAAAAAUCUUAAUUAUAUAAAAGGGACGAUAAGACCCUAUAGAAUUUUAUAAAAGAUUUGAUUAUAAAUUAAUUUAUUUUAUUGGGGUAAUAAAAAAAAAAUAUUUAUAUAAAAAUCAUUUAUUAAUGAGUAAGGGAUCUUUAAUUUUAGAUAAAAAGAUUAAAUUACCUUAGGGAUAACAGCAUAAUUUUUAUUGAAAGAUCUUAUUUUAAAAAAAGAUUAUGACCUCGAUGUUGAAUUAAGAUACUAUUUAGGAGUAAAAAUUUAGAUAGUUAGUCUGUUCGACUUUAAAUUUUUACAUGAUUUGAGUUCAAACCGGCGUGAGCCAGGUUGGUUUCUAUCUUUUUUAAAUUAAUUUAUUUUAGUACGAAAGGAUUGAGUAUAUAAAUUUAUAUUUGACUAUAGAAUAAAAUU